UACGUAGGGCGCAAGCGUUAUCCGGAAUUAUUGGGCGUAAAGAGCUCGUAGGCGGUUUGUCGCGUCUGCCGUGAAAGUCCGGGGCUCAACUCCGGAUCUGCGGUGGGUACGGGCAGACUAGAGUGAUGUAGGGGAGACUGGAAUUCCUGGUGUAGCGGUGAAAUGCGCAGAUAUCAGGAGGAACACCGAUGGCGAAGGCGGCAUCCUGGACCGAGAUUGACACUGAGGAGCGAAAGCCAGGGGAGCAAACGGG
rnacentral:rRNA from 1 species